GGGGUGUUAAAAUAAAAAAGAUACUAAUAGUUUAUUUGCCUGGUUGGCUGAAAUAUGGAUUAAAAGAUGGCCCACUGUGAGUGAGUUGGAAAUGCCUGAUCU